rnacentral:tRNA from 1 species
AGCUUAGUUGGUAAAGAAUCUGCCUGUAAUGCAGGAGACCUGGGUUCGAUUCCUGG